GAGUUUGAUCAUGGCUCAGAACGUACGCUGGCGGCACGCCUAACACAUGCAAGUCGAACGAAGUAGCAAUACUUAGUGGCAGACGGGUGAGUAACAUGUAGGUAUCUGCCCUUUGGCCUGGAAUAACACGAGGAAACUUGUGCUAAUACCGGAUAAGUCUUUACGGAGAAAGCUUUAUGCACCAUUGGAUGAGCCUGCACUUGAUUAGUUUGUUGGUGGGGUAAUGGCCUACCAAGACUGUGAUCAAUAGCUGAUUUGAGAGGAUGAUCAGCCACAUUGGGACUGAGACACGGCCCAAACUCCUACGGGAGGCAGCAGUGGGGAAUCUUGCACAAUGGAGGAAACUCUGAUGCAGCGAUGCCGCGUGAGUGAAGAAGGCCCUUGGGUUGUAAAGCUCUUUCGUCGGGGAAGAAAAUGACUGUACCCGAAUAAGAAGGUCCGGCUAACUUCGUGCCAGCAGCCGCGGUAAUACGAAGGGACCUAGCGUAGUUCGGAAUUACUGGGCUUAAAGAGUUCGUAGGUGGUUGAAAAAGUUAGUGGUGAAAUCCCAGAGCUUAACUCUGGAACUGCCAUUAAAACUUUUCAGCUAGAGUAUGAUAGAGGAAAGCAGAAUUUCUAGUGUAGAGGUGAAAUUCGUAGAUAUUAGAAAGAAUACCAAUUGCGAAGGCAGCUUUCUGGAUCAUUACUGACACUGAGGAACGAAAGCAUGGGUAGCGAAGAGGAUUAGAUACCCUCGUAGUCCAUGCCGUAAACGAUGUGUGUUAGACGUUGGAAAUUUAUUUUCAGUGUCGCAGGAAACCGAUAAACACACCGCCUGGGGAGUACGACCGCAAGGUUAAAACUC
rnacentral:rRNA from 1 species